GAUGGUGACCCAAACCCUCACCAGAGUAGCAAUUGGAGGGCAAGUCUGGUGCCAGCAGCCGCGGUAAUUCCAGCUCCAAUAGCGUAUAUUAAACUUGUUGCAGUUAAAAAGCUCGUAGUUGUAUUUUUGCGUUAGCGGUUUGACCAUUUGGUUGGUUAUUUCGUUUUCGCUUUUGGGAAUUUCCCUUUUACUUUGAGAAAAUUAGAGUGUUUCAAGCAGACUUUUGUCUUGAAUACUUCAGCAUGGAAUAAUAGAGUAGGACUUUGGUUCUAUUUUGUUGGUUAUUGAACCUUAGUAAUGGUUAAUAGGAACGGUUGGGGGCAUUCGUAUUUAACUGUCAGAGGUGAAAUUCUUAGAUUUGUUAAAGACGAACUACUGCGAAAGCAUUUGCCAAGGACGUUUCCAUUAAUCAAGAACGAAAGUUAGGGGAUCGAAGACGAUCAGAUACCGUCGUAGUCCUAACCAUAAACUAUGCCGACUAGUGAUUGGAGGUCGUCGUUUUUUGACCCCUUCAGGAACUUG
rnacentral:rRNA from 1 species